rnacentral:ncRNA from 1 species
AGAUAGCGCCAGACCGGGUUGGGACCGGUUGACGAGGGGAGAAGUGAUCGAAUUUUCGGCGGAUGCUUCUCCGGCAGAAAGAGGGAUGCCGACAGAUACGGGCAAAUAUGCGGGCAACCGCAAAACAAACU